CUUCUUGUCUUCAGAAGCAUGUUGCAAUGCUCUUAAAGGGGUUUCUGAUCCGCUGCUGUCAUGCAAAUUUUCAUCUGUAACUAUGGACUUGCCACCUGAUGGAGAUACUGAAGGCAAAGAGCAAUCUGACUUUGCAAUCAUAGCACUGCAUCCAGGACUUUGGCUGCUGUUGAGCCUAUUCACUAAUUCUUCCGAGUUUGCUGUAGAGAUCCAUCUCACGAUGCUUCAUAAUCAAUCCUGCAAAGCAACAAGGAAAAAUUGAGACGACAGGAAAUCAAAAGCUAUACCAGCCUAGCGGUGGGUACCGUUCUAAGCAUUCAACUCUUCACCUAGGUGUCCAAAUAAAAAGUGGAGGGGAGGCGGGGGAAGGUUGGGCAGAGUGGGAAAGAGGCAUACCGUAAAACAUCGAGCUUUUGCUGCUUUUGCUUCAUUGUAUUUAAUAAUCUUUGCUUGCCAGCCUCUCUUAAUGCUUCUGUUAUGUUGUUCUUAUCCAUCUUGUGUACCUGUUCGUAGGAAACAUUAGCGAAAUGCAAGCUAAAGAAGAGAUUAACCAAGUUAUCAUGCUACUGAAAAAAUAGAUGACAUCAAACCAA